UCAAAUCCAUCUCAAAUAUAAUAGAAUAAAUAGGAAUUCAAUUUUAUUAUCCAUUAAAUGAAACUAAUACUGGUUCAGAGCGUCUAAAUCCAAACAUAAAUACCAAUUCGACAAUCUUUACUAUUCAGAAAAUCACUAACUAUAAUUUCACAAUCAAUUGAAGAACUAAAAUUCUGCUCUGCUAUAAAGAUAAGCCAAGCUUGCUAGCGCAAACUCCAAGCCUAGGCCAUCCUUCGUU
rnacentral:lncRNA from 1 species